rnacentral:rRNA from 1 species
CUCAAAGAUUAAGCCAUGCAAGUGGUUUGCAACCCGACGGUUUGAAUAAGUGUUAAUUUACUUUUAAUUUAAAAAGUUUAAUAUAUGUAUAUUAAACUUUUUUUGUUUUAAAAGUGAUGAAAAUUCAGUUUGUUUAUCACUUACGCAACUGCAGACAGCUGCUUAAUACAGUCACACUUGUCUUGACUUCGCACUGUAAAUGUUUAUGAAUUGGGGUUAUAUAUAUAUUUAUAUAUAUAUAAUUUUAAUUUAUGAACAAAAUUGUUACUUUAAAAGAUAAUAAUAUAUUUUAAUAUGUUGUUGUUUUUUGGAUAACUAAGGGAAAGUUUGGCUAAUACGUACGAGUUAUUUGAAAUGUUAUAAUAUAAUUAUAUCUUUUAAUUAUAUUAUAUUAUUUUUUUUUACUUUUUGCACAUAUUGGAGCAGUGAAGUAUUAUAUAUACUAUUUAUAUUUGUAUUUAUAUUAAAUUGUGUUUUACAUGAUUUAUAUAUAUAUGAAUUUCAUGAAUAUAAUAUUUAAUGCUUUAUAACUUAAAUGUUAAGCUGCAUUCAUGCAACAUGAGAGACAAUAUGUACGCGAACAUACCUUUGUUUUAAUUAUUAUAUUAAUAAUUAAUAUAUAUCAUGACUUUAUUGUUAUGUUUAUAUUUUUAUUUUUAUAUAUAUUUAUUACAUGCUAAUGGUAUAUGCUGAGCAGACUUGCGAGGAAUCAUACUUGCAAGCAGGUCAUACAAGCAUCUACAGCAUCAAGUCACAGGGUCGGCAAGUGUAUUAUUGAACCUUCAAAGCAGUCACGCAUACGGAAGAGUAGUUUCUGAUCCCAUAGAAGGAGCACCGUACAAUGAGAGACCGCUCUUAGUUCUAAGGAACGCAGCAGGCGCGUAAAUUGCCCAAUGUUAGUCCCCUUUUUAUAUAUUAAUUAUAUUAAAAGUUUAAACAUUGUGUAGUUUUGCAUCUUUUUUUUUAUAUUUAUAUAAAAAACAAAUAUAAAAUUAAAAUGUAAAUACAAACACUUAGGUUUUCAAACAAGAUUAUUAAAUGUUAUAAUAAUAUUACAUUCCUUGUUAUAUUGUUUCUCAAUUAAAAAUUAAUUCAUUAUUUAAUUAAUAUAUUCUUUUUUACUGAGGCAGUGACAAGUUGUAACAGUUGUAGCUUUAAAUUAAUGUAAGGGCCUUGGAUUUGUCACUUCUUCUGAAGUGUUACAGAGCCGGCUUUUACCUGCUCAUCUGGAAUGCGGUGAGUCUAAGCAAUUCGGAACAGUUGGUGUGUCUUCGGACAUAACAAUAAUCCGAACUCAAGUGGAGGGCAAGUCUGGUGCCAGCAGCCGCGGUAAUACCAGCUCCACUGGCCUAUACAAUCAUUGUUGCGGUUAAGAGGCUCGUAGUUGGAUUGAACACUUUUAUUUUUUUAUUAAUUUUUUUAUUAUAAUUAUAUAUUUAUAUAUGAUUAUUUUAAAUAAAAUUAAGCUGAUAUUUUAAAUUCAAUAUUAUAUAAUAAUAUUAGUUGAUUUAAAAUUGAAAGUUUUAAUUAUAAUAUGAUUAAUUAAUUUAUUUAAAACACGUUUUCAACACUGUGAACAAAUCAGAGUGUAUCAAACAUGUCGUAUUUGAUUGUGCAUUGAAUGUCUUAUCAUGGAAUGUUGCAACUCAAAUAAUAUAUGUAUUUAUAUUGAUACUACUUUUAUUAAAUUAAAUUAAAUUUAAUUAUAUAUUGAUUCUUUUUGAUUUUUUUAAUAUAAUAAUACUGUAUUAAUUAAUUAUUUUAAUAUGUAUAUUUUAUUUUAAAUGUCGAUGGGGAUAGUUGGAGUCAAGAGUACUGCUGGGCGAGAGGUGAAAUUCGGUGACCCUGGCAAGACUACCAAAAGCGAAAGCACUUGACUAGGCUAUCCUCUUUGUGAUUUUGAUUAUUUAAUAUAAAAGAUUUGUAUAUAUAUAUAUUUAUAUUUAUAUAUAUAAAUUUAAUAUAUUAAUAAUUAAAAAACACUUUACAAUGAAGAACGAAGGUUGGGGGAUCAAAGACGAUCAGAUACCGUCGUCGUCCCAUUAAUUACAUCAAACGAUGGGCACUCAAUUGCAUAUUGAGAUAUUGUUUGAUAAUGCCCUCAACCUGCAAAAUUCAGGGCUUGUAGCGUUGUUUAAUCAAUUUUAUUUUGAUUUACUUUUAUUAAUAUAAUAUAAAUAUUUAUUAUUUGUAUUUUUUAAUUCAAUUUUAAUUAAAUUUUUAAUUGUUCAAUUGCUCGCCUGUAUUUGUAUAUGGACUUGAAGGCAUUUUUUGCAAGCGUGCAGCAUUCUUUGAAAUGUUUAUAUUAAAUUUAAUUAUUUUAUUAAUUAUAAUUUCUUUAUAUCGUUUUAUAUUAUAGUAAUGCAAGCACUUGAUUUUCGGAGCUUUGCGCUCUUUUGGUGAGAUGUAAGCGACAAAGAUGUCUUAUAACUUGUGCUUAAUUAUUUGAUUUUAAUGUUUUCUUCAUAGUAAUAUUUUAAUUGAUUUAAGCGUAAGUUAGCUUAAACGGACUCUUUACUGUUGUGAGGCACGCUUUAGGCACGCGCUUACUGCAGAAAUGUCUGAGUCAUUCCCCUCCGGGGGUAGUAUGCACGCAAGUGUGAAACUUGAAGGAAUUGACGGAAGGGCACCACAAGAACGCGUGGAGCAUGUGGCUUAAUUUGACUCAACGCGGGAAAUCUUACCGGGUCCGGACAUACUGAGGAUUGACAGGUGCAAAAAUGUAAUUUAUUAUAUUCAUUUAUAACAUAUUACAUUAUCAAAUAUGCUAGUCCUUUCAUGAUUGUGUGAUAGGUGGUGCAUGGCCGUUCUUAGUUCGUGGAGUGAUCUGUCUGCUUAAUUGCGUUUCAUAAUAGCUCCUUAUAGACUUUUCUAUUGAUAUCAGCCUUAAUACUUGAGAAUGAUCGUGUUAUAUAUAUAUAUAUAUAUGANUUAAUUUUCGUAUAUUAUAUUAUAUAAUUAUGUGAAUUUUUUGAGCUAAGGAUUUGAUUCAAAGUAAAAGCUGGAGCCUGAAGGCAACGAACGUGACCGCAACCUCUUGUUGCCUCAUUCUUAAUAUGAAUGAUAUAUUUAUUUGUUUUAUUACAUUUAAAUGUAUUAUUUAUAUGUGUUAUGUAUUUGAUAGUAUAUGAAUGUUAUGUGACAUGUGUAUAAUAUUAUAUAUAUAUAUAUAUUAUAUAUGANAUGAUUUGUAUUGUUAGAAUUUAUUUUAAUGAUAUUAAAUUAUAUUAUAUAUAUAUGUGUAUAUGUGGUUUUUAUACGNGUUAUAUGAUUUUNUUUAUGUAUUUAAUCAUUUUGCAUAAAUUGAGGNAAACGAGAGGGACCGCUAGGCUAGCUUUUUAAAACAGAGGAAGGUUGCGGCAAUAACAGGUCUGUGAUGCCCUCAGAUGUUCCGGGCUGCACACGUGCUACAAUGAUUAUUGCAGUGAGCAUCUCAACAUUGUGAUUUUAGUUUAUUAUGAUUAUAUAUUUAUAUAUUAUAAUGUAUUUAUUUAUGUUAUUUUAUAUUAUAUUAAUUGUUUAUUCUAAAAAUUUAAUCACAUAGCCUACUUCGGCAGUCAGUAGGUAAUCAAUUAGAAGUAAUGAUUUCCCCUUUUUUAUUUAAAUGUAUUUCAAAUUUAUUUUUUUAAUAUGUUUAUUUAAAAUUGAUGCACACUUUUAUGUCUAUGUUUCUAUUAACAUAUUAGGAUAUUAAUACUAUUUAUUAAUAGUUUAAUUUCUAAUUUUGUUAUAGUUACUGACAUGUGCUCUCAUGUUUUAUUAAAUGUUCAAUUCGUGGUGGGGACAGACCAUUGUUAAUUGUUGGUCUCGGUCUCAACUAGGAAUGCCUUGUACGGGUCUUUGGUUCAACAAACCACCCGGAAUAUGUCCCUGCCCUUUGUACACACCGCCCGUCGCUCUUACCGAUGGACUACUCUGUGAGUUUGAGGGACUGGUUUGAAUUUUAAAGUAUAUGUAUAUUUAUUUAUAUAUAUUACUUUUUAUAUAAUUCAGGCUAUGGAAACUCAUACGAACAGUGUGGUCUAAAGGAAAGAGAAGUCGUAACAAGGCAUCGGUAGGUGAACCU